GGAGCGGAGUUAGGGUCACCAGGCCGAGCAGAGGUGGGACGGACCGACGCAGAGAGGAAGGGAAGCCACCUGGCCUGAAGAUCCUGUCUCUAAGAUCCCAUUCUGAGGCUUCGAGGGUCUGGCUUGAGCAGCACAGACAGGGACGUGUCUAACCGGGAUGACCAUGAGGUCUCAUCGCAGUUUGCCACUAACCAGGACCCUAGGAGUGCUGUUUUAUUGUCUCCACCUGACAGAUAAGGAAAUGGCAGCUGACCCAGGUCAAGGAAGUUCCUGAGGUCCCAGGGCUGAUAAGUGGCCUGACUCCACCACCAGCCCCCAGGAGGAAGCCAACCCCAGCCCUAGAAAAACCCAAUUCCUGAGUGAGUGCUGUAA
rnacentral:lncRNA from 1 species